UCUUUGAUCUGGCCUGGCCGUGGUCACCACUGGUGAGUAUUUUUGUAGCACUUCAUUCUUUCCAUUCCAAGUUUUUGUGUUUUAUAUGUGUUGUGCCAUUAUUUCUUUGGUCUCCGUUGUAGAGAGAAGAAUGAAAAAAAUAUUAUUUAUGCACCGAGUUUGCAUCCAAAUUCCAAAGCCACAAGGUUGAUUUCUCUGUUGGGGAGUUGAGGUGGUGCUCAUCACUAUUCCGGUCGAUUUCUCUGUUGGGGAGUUGAGGUGGUGCUCAUCACUAUUCCGG